UACGUAGGGGGCAAGCGUUGUCCGGAAUCAUUGGGCGUAAAGAGCGUGUAGGCGGUCCGUUAAGUCGGCUGUGAAAGUCCAGGGCUCAACCCUGGGAUGCCGGUCGAUACUGCCGGACUAGAGUUCGGAAGAGGCGAGUGGAAUUCCCGGUGUAGCGGUGAAAUGCGCAGAUAUCGGGAGGAACACCUGUGGCGAAGGCAGCUCGCUGGGACGUUACUGACGCUGAGACGCGAAAGCGUGGGGAGCAAACAGG
rnacentral:rRNA from 1 species